UUGCUUUGGCAGCACAUAUUCUAAAACUGGAACGAUACAGAGAAGAUUAGCAUGACCCCUGUGCAAGGAUGACAUGCAAAUUUGUAAACCAAGAGACCUAAGUUU